CUCCCUUCUAAUGUGUGUCUACAGGAGGAAAGAAAGAUGGACGUGCUACGUGGGCUGUACAUGCUCCUUAAAUGCAAGGUUCAUCAUUUUGUCUGGAUGGCCUGAAAUGUGUCCAGCCUUGGUGCUUUUAGGACACGAUCACUUACUGCUCAAUCAUGAGCAGUCUCCAAAGGCCAAUUCUGGCUUUUUGACAACAGCAGCAUAAACCAUUUCACAGUCUUGAGAGAUACUCAGUGGGGACGAGCGAUUCCUUCUGGCUCAUCAGUUUAGGAGGAUGGCCUGUGUGAAUUUGCAGGGGAAAAAUGCAGACAAGUACAGUUUUCAUUUUAGUAUCUGAUUUGCUUAUAUAUAUAUGUGUGUGUGUGUAUGUGUGUGUAUAUAUAUAUAUAUAUAUGUAUAGACGCAUGUAAGUUUUUAUAUACUUCAUCCCAGUUGUUCAGGUUGGUAGUGUUGAAGAUCCUGUGGGUGCCCAACGUGAUUGUGGUCAAGAUCACUACACUAGAAAUGGGUGAGUCUGAGGCUGCUCUGCUUGAAACUCAAGAAUGUUUCCUGGAGGCUAUGGGCCACCUUCUCAAAAGACAUUUUUUGCCUUAUUCACGUUUUAAUAUUUCAUUCAUGCCUG
ensembl:lncRNA